UACCCGCUGAAACUUAAGCAUAUCAAUAAGCGGAGGAAAAGAAACCAACAGGGAUUGCCUCAGUAACGGCGAGUGAAGCGGCAAAAGCUCAGAUUUGAAAUCUGGUAUCAUUUUGGUGCCCGAGUUGUAAUCUGUAGAGGAGUAUUCGAGUGUAGCUUUGGCUUAAGUUCCUUGGAACAGGGCGUCAUAGAGGGUGAGAACCCCGUUAACGGCCUCAGUCUUAUGCUCAUGUGAAUCUUCUUCAACGAGUCGAGUUGUUUGGGAAUGCAGCUCUAAAUGGGUGGUAAAUUCCAUCUAAAGCUAAAUACUGGCAAGAGACCGAUAGCGCACAAGUAGAGUGAUCGAAAGAUGAAAAGAACUCUGAACAGAGAGUUAAACAGUACGUGAAAUUGUUGAAAGGGAAGCACUUGCUACCAGACGCACUUGCAGUCGAUCAACCUCCAUUUUUGGUGGUGCACUCGGUUGUAGGUGGGCCAGCAUCAGUUAUUAGCGGUGGGAUAAAGACUUUGGGAAUGUGGCUUCCUUCGGGGAGUGUUAUAGCCCUUGGUGUAAUACCAUCUGUUGUGACUGAGGACCGCGCUUUAUUGUGAGGAUGCUGGCAUAAUGGUCGUAAGUGACCCGUCUUGAAACACGGACCAAGGAGUCUAACAUCUAUGCGAGUGUUUGGGUGUAAAACCCUUACGCGAAAUGAAAGUGAAUGGAGGUGGGAACCGCAAGGUGCACCAUCGACCGAUCCGGAUGUCUUCGGAAGGAUUUGAGUAGGAGCAUAGCUGUUGGGACCCGAAAGAUGGUGAACUAUGCCUGAAUAGGGUGAAGCCAGAGGAAACUCUGGUGGAGGCUCGCAGCGGUUCUGACGUGCAAAUCGAUCGUCAAAUUUGGGUAUAGGGGCGAAAGACUAAUCGA
rnacentral:rRNA from 1 species